rnacentral:rRNA from 1 species
ACGAACGCUGGCGGCCUGCCUAACACAUGCCAGUCGAACGAGACCUUCGGGUCUAGUGGCGCACGGGUGCGUAACGCGUGGGAACCUGCCCUUAGGUUCGGAAUAACUCCCCGAAAGGGGUGCUAAUACCGGAUAAUGUCUUCGGACCAAAGAUUUAUCGCCUUUGGAUGGGCCCGCGUUGGAUUAGCUAGUUGGUAGGGUAAAAGCCUACCAAGGCGACGAUCCAUAGCUGGUCUGAGAGGAUGAUCAGCCACACUGGGACUGAGACACGGCCCAGACUCCUACGGGAGGCAGCAGUGGGGAAUAUUGGACAAUGGGCGAAAGCCUGAUCCAGCAAUGCCGCGUGAGUGAUGAAGGCCUUAGGGUUGUAAAGCUCUUUUACCCGGGAUGAUAAUGACAGUACCGGGAGAAUAAGCUCCGGCUAACUCCGUG